UACGUAGGGUGCGAGCGUUAAUCGGAAUUACUGGGCGUAAAGCGUGCGCAGGCGGUUUUGUAAGCCAGAUGUGAAAUCCCCAGGCUUAACCUGGGAACUGCGUCUGAUACUGGAUGGCUUGAAUUCGGGAGAGGGAUGCAGAAUUCCAGGUGUAGCGGUGAAAUGCGUAGAUAUCUGGAGGAAUACCGGUGGCGAAGGCGGCAUCCUGGACCGAGAUUGACACUGAUGAGCGAAAGCUAGGGGAGCAAACGGG
rnacentral:rRNA from 1 species